rnacentral:sRNA from 1 species
CAAUAUGUUGGCUGUGAUGGACCUGCCCGCAUGCUACAUGACAUCAUUGAACUUGUGCAGCAAUUUGGGAGACCAUGUAUUUCCCAAGGCAUCAUCACAGGUCCAAAUGAACACACGACCAUCCCAGGAGCAGCUGGCGAUGGUGCUGGUGGGCAGGCUGAUGGAGGGGGCCCAGGCCACAUCUCAAACCCAGUCACUGUGCUUCCAGCUUCUGCUCUCCUUCCACUGGCCAUCCUUGAAGAGGUUGUCACAGCCACCUGAUGGAAACUUCUUGAUGUAAUUGGGUUUCUGCCUGAACAGCUGGUCUAUGAGGCUUCCAGUUUGAAAAAGUACCAGAAGGUCCUAUCCCUCCAUCUACACCGAAGUUUGCAUAUGGAAAGGUCACUUUGGAAAAGUUAAAGACAGUGGGAGCAGCUCUGGACAUUCUGUGUCCCUCUGGGCCCAUCAAAAGCCUUUAUCCCUUGACAUUUAUCCAGGUGAAACAGCAUUAUGGGUUUGUGCUGUACCGGACAACACUUCCUCAAGAUUGCAGCAACCCAGCACCUCUCUCUUCACCCCUCAAUGGAGUCCACGAUCGAGCAUAUGUUGCUGUGGAUGGGAUCCCCCAGGGAGUCCUUGAGCGAAACAGUGUGAUCACUCUGAACAUAACAGGGAAAGCUGGAGCCACGCUGGACCUUCUGGUAGAGAACAUGGGACGUGUGAACUAUGGCGCAUAUAUCAACGAUUUUAAGGGUUUGGUUUCUAACCUGACUCUCAGUUCCAAUAUCCUCACGGACUGGACGAUCUUUCCACUGGACACUGAGGAUGCAGUGCGCAGCCACCUGGGGGGCUGGGGACACUGUGACAGUGGCCACCAUGAUGAAGCCUGGGCCCACAACUCAUCCAACUACACGCUCCCG